UUAUUUAAGAUAUAAUUAUCCUUGCGGCGAACGUGACGUCACUUUAACUAACUAAACGGCUACCAUUAUGGUAUGGGGGCAAACAAAGCGCUUGAAAAUAGAGAAAUGUGUUUUUGAUUGUUCAAUUAAUGUUAAUAGUCAUCCGAACUUGAUUUUUUAUAUUUUGCUUCCUGAUCCAAAGAGAAGAAAAUCGUGGUUUUAUGCUUUAUAUAGAAUUGAUUCAUCUUGCAAACAAACUUUGGUCGCAAAACAUGUCUAAGUUUGCUCAAAACAUUUUGUAUUUGAAUAUUAUGUACAAAAAAGUCAUUGCAAUAAAUCUCAAGUUAUUAAAGUCAGUGAACAAAUAAGUACUGAUAAAUAAUGCAGCAUUAGCUAGGAUUGUUCUUAGGUCACAAAACAAUCUUACAAAUAGAGUUUCUGCUGCUGUCACUGGUUUUAGAGAGUUCCUUUGUGAAUAAAGAUAAAAAGUCAUUUAUGUUAUUUUUUAAAAGCCAAGACAUAAUAUUGUUAAUCCUCAUACCAUUGACUAAAAAACUUUAUAAAUAUUG